AAUUAGAAAGUAAAGUGUUACAUUUAGUUUCGGCCUAAAAGUUUGGCCAUAAUGGUCUCUAAUUU
rnacentral:tRNA from 1 species